ACACUGUUGAGGAGUCUCACAUAGGACGAAACGACUGUACAGUGU
rnacentral:hammerhead_ribozyme from 1 species